rnacentral:rRNA from 1 species
GAGCACGUAGGUGGGUUUGUAAGUCAGAUGUGAAAGCCUCCUGUUCAACGGGAGAAUUGCAUCUAAAACUACUGAUCUUGAGUGUAGGAGGGGAGAAUGGAACUUCUGGUGGAGCGGUGAAAUGCGUAGAUAUCAGAAGGAACGCCGGCGGCGAAAGCGAUUCUCUGGCCUAUUACUGACACUCAGUGUGCGAAAGCUAGGGGAGCAAACGGGAUUAGAUACCCCGGUAGUCCUAGCCGUAAACGAUGGGCACUAAGUAGAGGGGU